GACGAACGCUGGCGGCGUUCCUAAUACAUGCAAGUAGAACGCUGAAGGAGGAGCUUGCUUCUCUGGAUGAGUUGCGAACGGGUGAGUAACGCGUAGGUAACCUGCCUGGUAGCGGGGGAUAACUAUUGGAAACGAUAGCUAAUACCGCAUAAUAGUAGAUGUUGCAUGACAUUUGCUUAAAAGGUGCAAUUGCAUCACUACCAGAUGGACCUGCGUUGUAUUAGCUAGUUGGUGGGGUAACGGCUCACCAAGGCGACGAUACAUAGCCGACCUGAGAGGGUGAUCGGCCACACUGGGACUGAGACACGGCCCAGACUCCUACGGGAGGCAGCAGUAGGGAAUCUUCGGCAAUGGACGGAAGUCUGACCGAGCAACGCCGCGUGAGUGAAGAAGGUUUUCGGAUCGUAAAGCUCUGUUGUAAGAGAAGAACGAGUGUGAGAGUGGAAAGUUCACACUGUGACGGUAUCUUACCAGAAAGGGACGGCUAACUACGUG
rnacentral:rRNA from 1 species